rnacentral:sRNA from 1 species
CGAGGGAACUCAGAAGCUCUAUUUCUCUAGUUUGUUCACCUGCUACGCAUCGUUACUGAAGCGGUCUAGGUUUAUGAAGUCUGCCCAGUAGCUUCUCGACGAUUUUUGCGUCUACUUGAAUCGAAUCCUCCACCGCCUAACUGAUGUAGUUUUCGGGCCAAAGAUCAAACGAUUCCUCAUGACCUCAAGAUGAAAUUAUUUCUCUAGGAUGCUUCUGUUUUUCUUGCAGUUUAGAGAAUUUUCUUUCAUUAGAAAGCUUGAAUGGCAUGAAAAAACUGAUAGAUUAUGCCACUGAAAUUCAGAAAUGUAAAGGUACGGAUAUUCCGUUUCUUUGAUCUUUCCCAUUACCUUGUACAUGUUCAGGUUGUUGGUACGCCUAAGAAACGUAAUAAUUCCAAUUUGACUAUGCUGAUUUUCCUUGUUUAACAUAUCCAUGUAAACAUUGUUAUGCAUGUGCCAUUCUAGCUUUGUGGCUGGUUUUGGAUCUCAGCAUGUGUGUGGUUCAGUUUAACUUCUUUGUGAACUUGUUAUUUAUACUUUUCUGUGAACUUGUGAUUUGGCAUUUACUUUAACUUCUUUGUGGUUCAGUUUAUGUGAUAUAGUAUGGUGCAAUUAAUGUGAUAUAGUUGUCCUUAUAAUCCUGAAAAUGUGAAACAUCAUAAUUGUUAAAUUGUGCAUAUGGUUUUACUAUUUUUUAGAUUGUUUGGAUUUAUGAGCAUCCUCUGAUCUUAGGGUGGUACGAGAAAAAUUGAAGAAUGUAUUUGAGAAUAAAGAUAAUAAUUGUGGAUCAAUGUUCGUAGCACUACAUUUGAACUCCUUGACAGUUGGUUAAAGUGGACAUGAAAAACUAGCGUUAUAAGACAUAUCAUAGGAUUGUAACAAGUACUUGUAAAAUUUUUACAUAGAUUUUUUUUGUAUAUGUAGUUGAAUAUAUGAAUAUUAAUAUAAAACAAUUCUUUCAUUUUGAAAA